GACGAACGCUGGCGGCGUGCUUAACACAUGCAAGUCGAACGAUGAAGCCUAGCUUGCUAGGUGGAUUAGUGGCGAACGGGUGAGUAAUACGUGAGUGACCUACCUUUAACUCUGGGAUAAGCCCGGGAAACUGGGUCUAAUACCGGAUACGACCAAUCUCCGCAUGGGGUGUUGGUGGAAAGCGUUAUGUAGUGGUUAUAGAUGGGCUCACGGCCUAUCAGCUUGUUGGUGAGGUAACGGCUCACCAAGGCGACGACGGGUAGCCGGCCUGAGAGGGUGACCGGCCACACUGGGACUGAGACACGGCCCAGACUCCUACGGGAGGCAGCAGUGGGGAAUAUUGCACAAUGGGCGCAAGCCUGAUGCAGCGACGCCGCGUGAGGGAUGACGGCCUUCGGGUUGUAAACCUCUGUUAGCAGGGAAGAAGAGAGAUUGACGGUACCUGCAGAGAAAGCGCCGGCUAACUACGUG
rnacentral:rRNA from 1 species